UGGGGAAUAUUGGACAAUGGGCGAAAGCCUGAUCCAGCCAUGCCGCAUGAGUGAAGAAGGCCUUUGGGUUGUAAAGCUCUUUUAGUGAGGAAGAUAAUGACGGUACCCACAGAAGAAGUCCUGGCUAACUCCGUGCCAGCAGCCGCGGUAAUACGGAGAGGGCUAGCGUUAUUCGGAAUUAUUGGGCGUAAAGGGCGCGUAGGCUGGUUAAUAAGUUAAAAGUGAAAUCCCGAGGCUUAACCUUGGAAUUGCUUUUAAAACUAUUAAUCUAGAGAUUGAAAGAGGAUAGAGGAAUUCCUGAUGUAGAGGUAAAAUUCGUAAAUAUUAGGAGGAACACCGGUGGCGAAGGCGUCUAUCUGGUUCAAAUCUGACGCUGAAGCGCGAAGGCGUGGGGAGCAAACA
rnacentral:rRNA from 1 species